AGUGCAGCACGCAAAGCGCUAAAAAAUACAAAACAAAACACGCACGCGGCAGGAAAAGCGGAAAAUAACAAUAAAAUGCCGCCUAGGAGAAGUAAAAAAGGUGCAAAUCGGAAAAGCCCGGGUCACGAUCCAUCAAGAUCAGUUAGGAUCCUUAAAAAAGUUAUAUCUUUGAAAUAAAAAAUAUGUUUUCUUCAAAACGACCGUAAUUAAUCAAGUGUCAAGCGUCAAGGAAAGCAAAAGUCCCUCUUGACCACUCCAGAAAACAGGAUUAGAGCCAAGUGGGAAAUGCCAAGGAAAGGCUGGAGCCAAGGGAAGCCGCAGAUGGCGACAGAGAUUAGAACUGAUAUGCCUAUCUUUCAAUUUCAUCACAAAACACCCAUCAAGAGCGGUUAAUUAUUUAAAUACAUAAACGAACUACAAACUAACUUCGAGCACAUGAUUUGAAUUCUGUAAGUUCUCAAUGGAGCCCUGUAAAAGCCUGCGAAGCACCUACAAACGGCGAUUAAUUAGUUAAAUACACAUAACCGCGCACAUGAUUUCACUUGAACCAAAGAUUAAGGCCUGACCGACUAAUUUGACGACGAGUGUAAAUGCGCUUGGCCAGCAAAAGUGCAAAAAGUCGUAUGAAAAAUACUCGUAUAUUGCCCAUAUCGUACGUACUUUGCCUUGUCGCUUGCUGUUUACUUCACUGUAUACUGGAUACUGGGAUACUGGAUACUGGCACUGGAUACUCUGGUGGUACUACUGCCUGUGAAAAUCGCCUCGAACGAACUGAGACCGCCGAGACUGAACAAAAUGUACUGGUACUGGCUGCUACUACGGCGGCUAUAGGCAAGCGAACUGAACUGAAAUUCAACUGAAGCAGCUGUACCAGGCAAUGGCCAUAGCCAGCUAUACAGAAACCCAACCAAACCGAACCGAAACCGAAACAGAAACACACAUAGCGCAGGGUGGAGAGAGCGAGAGGGGUGCAGGGGAGGGGGGAGGCGGCACAGCACAGCACACACAGCACACAGCACAGCACAGCAAAAGCAAAAGCAAAAGCAAAGGCAGCGACGAACAGCGAGACCAUCAAAUAGCACGGAGUACGUACGUACAGGCAGCCAAAGCAAAGUAUCUGUAUCUGAGAGUCGAACAACCCAGGCAGUCGACCAACCAACACACAGGGCGCUUCGGGGUAGGCGACUGUGUUCGCACAGUGGCGGGCCUUCGGGUGUGCACGGCUCAGGCUUCGCGACUCAUUUGCCUGCUCGCACACUGCUGGGCCGGCAAAUUAGAGGCACAGCGCAUGCACAGUGGAGGCACAAAAUAUUGAAAAUGCCUUUGUUUCAAAAUGUUAAACAGCUUGGUUAUAAUUUCAGGGCUUGAAAAAGGGGAUUUCAAAUGGGCCACAAAGAAACAUUUUUUUUAUAAUUUAAAAAAAAAAAUAAAUAUAUAUCCCUUUGAAACUCUAUUAAAACCAAACAUAUUUAAGACUGUCCCCCACCAAACACCCUAAAAUUUAACAAGAUGCGCAUGUAUACGACUAUUUUUGCCGCGACUGUACAUAUAAAAAGCAUGGAGCUGUGAGAACGAAUUGCCAGCAGUAUUUGGCGGCGCCGCUUUCCCCUCUCCGUACCCUCCAUCCCCUCCAAUCCCCCUCCUCCCUACUCAAUACCCCAGAGCUCGUCAGAAACGUCGUCACUGCCGCCCGCCCACCUGUGUACCGCCCACCCCGUCCCCGCAGAAAUUAAGAAAAAGUAAAGCACUCCUACUUCAGCAAUUUGUAUCUUCCACUCAUCAGCCAUCAUUAAAACUUAUGGGCAUACAUUGUAGCUUUUCCUUGUUUUUUUCCAAAAAAUCUUUAACCUAGAAUAUUGAUUUGACAUUUACAUUUCAAUCGAUUGAAUAAUCAGCCCAGCGAAUCAGCUCACAUCGCCAAUGCGUUCGCAUUUCAAAAAAUAACCGUCAAUAUUUCGCGCGCGCCCUCCAUUCAAAAUUUCAAUUCAAUACGAGCACGAUGUGGACGACGAAAGCCACCUAACCAAAAGGCGAAAGCAGCCAAUGGCUCUAUGUGGGACCCCAAGUAUAGUGGUAGAGUGUAUAACCCACGCUGCCACCAAAAAUUGGGUCGUUCGGUUUAUUUAGCAAAAUUUAUAUAAUAAAUGGCCACCGUGGCGCUAUAUCUUGACCAGAUUAUUUCGGCGAGACAAUAACGAAUCAAUCGUAGUGAAGCACUUGACACUCACCCGUAUGAAAAAGUCGCGUAAUUUGCGUUUUAAUUGCAGCAAAUCGAGAAAAUCUGCUCGCUUUGGUUCAGUUUCAGUACAACUGCCUCGGUUCACUGUAUAAAAUUUUUCUUUCCACUGAAAACCCAAGCAAGUCGCUUGAGCGUAGUACAGCUUUUGCCUUUGGAAUAUGAAA